GACGAACGCUGGCGGCGUGGAUUAGGCAUGCAAGUCGAACGGUAUCAUCCUUUCGGGGGUGAGAGAGUGGCGAACUGGUGAGUAACACGUAGGUUAUCUACCCUCAAGACGGGGACAACCCAGGGAAACUUGGGCUAAUACCGGAUGUGAGCAACUUUUAGUUGUUUGAAAGGUGGCGUAAGCUGUCGCUUGGGGAUGAGCCUGCGUCCUAUUAGUUAGUUGGUGAGGUAACGGCUCACCUAGGCAAUGAUAGGUAGGCGGCCUUAACGGGUGUCGCCCACACUGGGAUUGAGAUACGGCCCAGACUCCUACGGGAGGCAGCAGUCGAGAAUAGUCUACAAUGGUCGGAAGACUGAUAGUGCGACGCCGCGUGAACGAUGAAUCCCUUCGGGGUGUAAAGUUCUUUUAUAUGUGAGCAGUGCUUCUUAUAUUAACAGUAUGGGGAAGAGAUAUUAGCAUAUGAAUAAGCAACGGCUAACUCCGUGCCAGCAGCCGGGU
rnacentral:rRNA from 1 species